GUUGAAACACCGGUUCCCAUACGAUCACCGAAGUUAAGCAACAUUAAGCCUGGUGAGUACUAAGAUGGGUGACU